AGGGUGGUAACGAUCCUGACCGCGUUCUUUCUUGGCCUGCACACCACCUGAUUCAACCUCCUUCUUGAGCUGACCAUUGCCAUAGGGCUUCUUUACUACGGAUGACGGAGCCUUUCCCUGAACUUUCUCCUUUAUCAUCCAGCUUUCAAUCCUCUCCAACCUCUCAGCCAUUGCUUUCUGCCCCAAGGUGAGCCCUUGCACGACUUUGAACAACUCCCCCAUCAUCUCUUUCAAUUCGAGAAUGUCGGCGUUGGGUGGAUCCAUCAGCCCGAGUUUGUUGAGUCUGGCAGGAUGUAUGAGCGAGAGAGCUAUGUGCACUGGUUAGAUACUGACACCUACAAAACAGCAGACAGGUUAAUAUGACUCACACAUGCAAUGUCUAUCCGUAUGAGGAGAAUUCCGUCCUUUGAUUCUGGUUUCAUUGUGAUGGAUAACAUUUCAACAAUAACAUUGACAUCUGGGUGUCUCUCAACCGGAAUCUCAAUAAAAAAUGGACCCUGAG
rnacentral:lncRNA from 1 species